rnacentral:rRNA from 1 species
AUUGAACGCUGGCGGCAGGCCUAACACAUGCAAGUCGAGCGGAUGAGGAGAGCUUGCUCUUCGAUUCAGCGGCGGACGGGUGAGUAAUGCCUAGGAAUCUGCCUGGUAGUGGGGGACAACGUUUCGAAAGGAACGCUAAUACCGCCUACGUCCUACGGGCGAAAGCAGGGGACCUUCGGGCCUUGCGCUAUCAGAUGGGCCUAGGUCGGAUUAGCUAGUUGGUGAGGUAAUGGCUCACCAAGGCGACGAUCCGUAACUGGUCUGAGAGGAUGAUAAGUCACACUGGAACUGAGACACGGUCCAGACUCCUACGGGAGGCAGCAGUGGGGAAUAUUGGACAAUGGGCGAAAGCCUGAUCCAGCCAUGCCGCGUGUGUGAAGAAGGUCUUCGGAUUGUAAAGCACUUUAAGUUGGGAGGAAGGGCAGUAAGUUAAUACCUUGCUGUUUUGACGUUACCGACAGAAUAAGCACCGGCUAACUCUGUGCCAGCCGCCGCAGUAAGAC